CCUACGGGAGGCAGCAGUAAGGAAUAUUGGUCAAUGGAGGCAACUCUGAACCAGCCAUGCCGCGUGCAGGAAGACGCCCUAUGGGUUGUAAACUGCUUUUAUCUGGGAAUAUGUACCAGAAGAAUAAGGAUCGGCUAACUCCGUGCCAGCAGCCGCGGUAAUACGGAGGAUCCAAGCGUUAUCCGGAUUUAUUGGGUUUAAAGGGUGCGUAGGCGGCCUGUUAAGUCAGGGGUGAAAGACGGUAGCUCAACUAUCGCAGUGCCCUUGAUACUGAUGGGCUUGAAUGGACUAGAGGUAGGCGGAAUGAGACAAGUAGCGGUGAAAUGCAUAGAUAUGUCUCAGAACACCGAUUGCGAAGGCAGCUUACUAUGGCUAUUGACGCUGAGGCACGAAAGCGUGGGGAUCAAACAGGAUUAGAUACCCUUGUAGUC
rnacentral:rRNA from 1 species